rnacentral:SRP_RNA from 1 species
GCCAGGCAUGGUAGUAAAUGCCUGGUAAUCUCAGCUACUGGGAGGAUGAGUGUUGGAGUGCUAGAGUUCAGGAGUUCUGAUCUGCAGUGGGCUAAGCCAAUUGGGUAUCUGAACUAAAUCUGACAUCAAUAUUGUUAGUUCCUAGGAGCAGGGGGGCACCAGAAAAAGGGGUGAACAGGCUCAGGUUAGAAGUAGAGCAAGUUAGAGCUCUUGUGCCAAUCAAUAAUGGGAAUGGGACCAUCAGUAGCCCUGCAUUUCCAACCUGGUUGAGAUGGGAAGAGCCAGUCU